AAGACACAGAUAAAAGCAGGACAUGCACAUAAAAAUUUGCAGGUUAAUUAAGUCCAUCUCCAAUAGAGAGGAAAGAAAUGAAAAGGUGUGAGCUCUGUGAUUCUUUAGCAAAAGUGUACUGUGAAUCAGAUCAAGCCAACCUAUGUUGGGAUUGUGAUGCUAAUGUUCAUAGUGCAAAUUUUCUUGUUGCCAAACAUUCAAGAUCACUUCUUUGUCAUGUUUGUCAAUCUCUCACGCCCUGGACGGGAACCGGACACAAGUUAGGCCCUACCCUUUCUGUCUGCAACAACUGCAUAAACAACUCGAGUUGUAGAGAAGAAAGAGUAAGCGAAGAUGACGAAGAAGGCGACAGUGAUGAUGAUGAUGAUCUUGAUAGAGAAGAAGAUGGUGAUGAAGAUGAAGAUGAAGAUGAAGAUGAAGAUGAAGAAAAUGGUGAUGAUGGUAAUGGUCAUGGGGGUGAAGAUGAUGAAGAGAAUCAAGUAGUUCCAUGGUCUUCUACGCCGCCUCCGCCUGUUUCAAGCCCUUCUAAUGAUAGUGAAGAAUGGUCAAGCAGAUUUUGUGACAGUGAUGGAGGGAUAUCAAAAUCUAGAAGAGCAUUUUCUUCGAAACACAGGCGUGGAACUGUGCCUUAGCCUACUAAUUCUCAUCGGGUUUAGGCUACGAGUCAUCUGUGUUUGAUGUUAAUUUUGAUAAUCAAAAUCUUUCAUCCCAGCCCAUAUAAAUCUUGAAGCGAAAUUGAAGAUUGUAAAGAAAUAACUCUCUUUUCUGAAUCAGGAUCAUGUAGGGUAGCUAGGCUGCUUCUUGUUGCAAGAUAACCUGAAUGUGUUGAAGUCAAGUGAAUCAAAUUUUACGGGUACCUUGAGCUUAAGGAUAGCUAAAAUUUCCCAUAUCACAACAAGCUCAGCAAAUCAAGAACCUGGAUUUGCUGAAGGAUGAUUUUCACUGGAUUGUAAUAGCCAGGUCUUUGAAUGGUCCAUGUCAGAAACUUCUUCUGUGGUGCAGAUUUCGUCCCCAACUGAAUGUGGGACCCUACUCUAGAAGGAAUGUGGAUACCAUCAUCUAUCUCAUUUACUUAGAGGAAAUGGUUUUGAUUCUUUGACCAACGAAUAUAAACGUAGCAGAUCAUGAUAAAAUCCAUUGACUCUGGGGUUGAUGGUGGUAUGCCUUCAUUGUUUCUUCUGCAAGAAUCACAAGUUUUGUUGCUGAAGUACUCCUAGCUGCUGUUCUUUGUUUCAUUGCCUUCCUUUCAAUUCUUUUAUGAUGCGGUAAUAAAAAAUUGAAUGGUUUCAGGUGAGACUAGUGCCUCAUCUG